rnacentral:lncRNA from 1 species
CUUGCCCUUCUGGUUAACGAAAGACACCCAGAACACAUUAAUGCUCUGGAAUGAGUCCAGAACCCAAGUUCCAGCCCCAAGUUGCCUUUGGCUAAUGCAGCCUUAGUGUGAGCACACUGAUGAUUGCAACUACCAACUGGAGCAGGGCCUGUCACAGGGAGAAACAUCCCUAUUUCUAUGAGUGGUGAUGAAAAGUAAUUAAGCCUACAGGGUGACACCAUUUUUGUAUGAUUUUCUUGCAAGCCUAGGAAAAUGGUGAAAUAUAUUCUCCUCUCCAGGCUCAGAACAGGGCCUAGAAAUCAGAGGUCAAGCUGUCCCCAGGUGAACCUGGCAGGGACAUGCUUCUUUGGGACCAGAGCAAGCCACAAAUGCUACUUUCAUCCUCAAAAAGAAAAGAGGGAGAGAACUUUACAUUGGCUGAGAAAGUGUGAGAAAUUCAUCCCACUGUACCUUUCCUUGUGGAUAACCAGCUGACCUCUGCCUUCAGCACCCACCGCUGCCUCAGCUGGGCACCCUUCUGACACAUUAAUUCUACAGCAAGGCUUGGACACCCACUGUUUCAUCCUUCCUAAAGAUUAUUUUGGC